rnacentral:rRNA from 1 species
UACGUAGGGACCAAGCGUUGUUCGGAUUUACUGGGCGUAAAGGGCGCGUAGGCGGCAAUUCAAGUCAGCUGUGAAAUCUCCGGGCUUAACUCGGAACGGUCAGCUGAUACUGCUUUGCUAGAGUGCAGAAGGGGCAAUCGGAAUUCUUGGUGUAGCGGUGAAAUGCGUAGAUAUCAAGAGGAACACCGGAGGUGAAGACGGGUUGCUGGGCUGACACUGACGCUGAGGCGCGAAAGCGAGGGUAGCAAACGGG